AUGCACAAGCAGCUCCAUACUUCAGGGAUAAGAGACAAAGGCAUGGUUAAAAGUGAGAAACAUGUGGAUAGACAGUCCUCCAAGUAUGAUAUGGAAUGCUCGGUACUGACAAAGAUUCCUUCACAGGAGACUCCAGAACAGUCAGUGACUCAGCCUGAAGCUCGCAUCACUGUCACUGAAGGAUCCUCUCUGCAGCUGAGAUGCAACUAUUCCUCCAGUGUGACGACUUACCUGUUCUGGUAUGUCCAGUACCCACGGCAGGGGCUCCAGCUGCUCCUCAAGUAUUAUUCAGGAGACCCCGUGGUUCUCGGCUUGAGUGGCUUUGAGGCUGAGUUUAGCAAGAGCGACUCUUCCUUCCAUCUGAAGAAAGCCUCUGUGCACCUGAGCGACUCGGCUGUGUACUUCUGUGCUCUGAGUGCACAGUGUGUGGGGCUGCAGGGGGAGCUGACCAUAAACACCCAUGGCACUGGAGCGCUCAACUAA